rnacentral:rRNA from 1 species
UAGGGAAUCUUCCACAAUGGGCGCAAGCCUGAUGGAGCAACGCCGCGUGAGUGAAGAAGGGUUUCGGCUCGUAAAGCUCUGUUGUUAAAGAAGAACGUGGGUAAGAGUAACUGUUCAUACGUUGACGGUAUUUAACCAGAAAGUCACGGCUAACUACGUGCCAG